AAGAGUUUGAUCAUGGCUCAGGACGAACGCUGGCGGCGUGCUUAACACAUGCAAGUCGAACGGUGAACCAGAGCUUGCUCUGGGGAUCAGUGGCGAACGGGUGAGUAACACGUGGGCAACCUGCCCCAGACUCUGGGAUAACCUCGGGAAACCGAUGCUAAUACCGGAUACGACCACUUCGGACAUCCGACGGUGGUGGAAAGUUUUCGGUCUGGGAUGGGCCCGCGGCCUAUCAGCUAGUUGGUGGGGUAAUGGCCUACCAAGGCGACGACGGGUAGCCGGCCUGAGAGGGCGACCGGCCACACUGGAACUGAGACACGGUCCAGACUCCUACGGGAGGCAGCAGUGGGGAAUAUUGCACAAUGGGCGAAAGCCUGAUGCAGCGACGCCGCGUGAGGGACGACGGCCUUCGGGUUGUAAACCUCUUUCAGCAGGGACGAAGCGAAAGUGACUGUACCUGCAGAAGAAGCACCGACUAACUACGUG
rnacentral:rRNA from 1 species